rnacentral:rRNA from 1 species
GACAGAGGGGGCAAGCGUUGUCCGGAAUUACUGGGCGUACAGGGCACGCAGGUGGCUGCAUAGGUGGCGUGUGAAAGCCCCGCGCUUAAUGCGGGGAGGCCACGCCAAACGGUGCGGCUCGAGCGAUGCAGAGGGUGGUGGAAUUGCCGGUGUAGUGGUGAAAUGCGUAGAGAUCGGCAGGAACACCAAGGACGAAAGGUAACCACCUGGGCAUCAGCUGACACUCAUGUGCGACAGCGUGGGGAGCGAACCGG